GAGCCCUACGGGACGCAGCAGUGGGGAAUAUUGCACAAUGGGGGAAACCCUGAUGCAGCGACGCCGCGUGAGCGAAGAAGUAUUUCGGUAUGUAAAGCUCUAUCAGCAGGGAAGAAAAUGACGGUACCUGACUAAGAAGCUCCGGCUAAAUACGUGCCAGCAGCCGCGGUAAUACGUAUGGAGCAAGCGUUAUCCGGAUUUACUGGGUGUAAAGGGAGAGCAGGCGGUCCGGCAAGUCUGAUGUGAAAGGCGGGGGAUCAACCCC
rnacentral:rRNA from 1 species